rnacentral:rRNA from 1 species
AUUGGACAAUGGGCGAAAGCCUGAUCCAGCCAUGCCGCGUGAGUGAUGAAGGCCCUAGGGUUGUAAAGCUCUUUCAACGGUGAAGAUAAUGACGGUAACCGUAGAAGAAGCCCCGGCUAACUUCGUGCCAGCAGCCGCGGUAAUACGAAGGGGGCUAGCGUUGUUCGGAAUUACUGGGCGUAAAGCGCACGUAGGCGGAUUGUUAAGUUAGGGGUGAAAUCCCAGGGCUCAACCCUGGAACUGCCUUUAAUACUGGCAAUCUCGAGUCCGAGAGAGGUGAGUGGAAUUCCGAGUGUAGAGGUGAAAUUCGUAGAUAUUCGGAGGAACACCAGUGGCGAAGGCGGCUACUCUGGCUCGAGUGCUAGGACGCAUGCGGUAGACAGCGCGCGUGGGCGCAU